rnacentral:tRNA from 1 species
AAGUGCAAUUCCCUGGUUUCGGCCCAGAAUUAGGCAGUACACGUGCCCACUUU